CCAGGAGAAGGAUGAAGUGCUGGAGUGAAGGAGGUGGUGCAGAGGUCGCUGCAGGCAGCUGCUGUUUCUGGAAGUUUCUGCUUUGAGGCAUGUGCUGACUUUGGACAGGUUCAGUGCUUUCUGCAGCUUUUGCAGAGUGCCAGGUCCACAGUCUGGUUUAGCAAAGGCCACUGGUCCGCGUCUCUUUCCCAUGGGGCCCACAUGAAAAACAGGAGUUUGAGAAGCAGAGUCAAGCAAUUAUGCCGUUGAAAACAAGAUCACCACACCUGUACAAGAAAAGACAACCAAGCCUAAAACAUCUGUUUGGAUCCACCUGCCAAGCACCUGUUCCGCUGUUUCAAUGCCAUUUGAUUGCUGGAGAUGUAGAGGCUCUUGUGAGGUUUCUUGCACAGUUGUGUGCUUUGUGCUGAUGGAAGAUGCUGCAGACUCAGGUCUUUAUCCACAGACCAGUUUCCACACUGGGAACUGCAGGAUAAAUCAGCCCAUGCUCCUCACCAUGGAGAAUUCAGCAGCUGCUUGGGAUCAUCCCCCAGAGAUGAAGGAGAUGUGGAAGUCAAACUGAGAGGUGCAGCUAAGCUUGCAGC